GCGUCCAUCGUCUAAUGGAUAGGACAGGGGUCUUCUAAGCCCAUAGUAUGGGUUCAAAUCCUAUUGGACGCA
rnacentral:tRNA from 5 species